rnacentral:rRNA from 1 species
GACGAACGCUGGCGGCGUGCUUAACACAUGCAAGUCGAACGGAAGGGCCCUGCUUUUGUGGGGUGCUCGAGUGGCGAACGGGUGAGUAACACGUGAGUAACCUGCCCUUGACUUUGGGAUAACUUCAGGAAACUGGGGCUAAUACCGGAUAGGAGCUCCUGCUGCAUGGUGGGGGUUGGAAAGUUUCGGCGGUUGGGGAUGGACUCGCGGCUUAUCAGCUUGUUGGUGGGGUAGUGGCUUGCCAAGGCUUUGACGGGUAGCCGGCCUGAGAGGGUGACCGGCCACAUUGGGACUGAGAUACGGCCCAGACUCCUACGGGAGGCAGCAGUGGGGAAUAUUGCACAAUGGGCGGAAGCCUGAUGCAGCAACGCCGCGUGCGGGAUGACGGCCUUCGGGUUGUAAACCGCUUUCGCCUGUGACGAAGCGUGAGUGACGGUAAUGGGUAAAGAAGCACCGGCUAACUACGUG